rnacentral:miRNA from 1 species
CAGGGCUGAGUUCAUCCCGGGGUUGAAAUUUUAACCCUGCUUCAGCUAGCAGGGUUGAAAUUUCAACCCCGGGGUUGAACUCAGCCCUG